GUGAAUGGUAAAUUAAAAAAAAAAAAAAGUCAAUUAUAAAAAUAUUAACAGGAUGUGCGUUGGGAUAGUACCAUUUUCACUGCUGCCUUACCGCUAACGUCUCUGCUCAACUCAGAUUCCCCUGCCAUAUCUGCUUUCAUCUCUGCACAACUCAGAUUCCUGUCUCUCGUCUUCUACUUCGACGCAGCCUCCAACAUCCCCAGCGACAAGAGGACGCUAUUUUAAAUUGGGGAAGUUCAUUUCCUUGGGCAAGUUCAUUGACCUGGUGGUGAACACGGAGAAGACGAUUUUCUCUGCUGCUGAAAUUUUGCAAUGGCUUUUCUGUUUAACAAAUUUCAAGAGCAGUGAAAGUUCUUGCAAAAAGUCCUACAUUUGCCAGAGAUCCAAGGCUUUGAAGCAGACAAAAAUCGCCUUUUCCUAUAUACCUGGUAACUGUCUAUUUGUUAUUGAAAUGAUCACUGGUUAUAAUUUGCCAUUUUUUUAAUGUAGAAUCUAUGUAGACAAUGGGAACUUCACUCAUAUUAUCGUUUACUAUUUGCUAGAACUUCAUUCACAUUAUCAUUUAGCAUUUGUAAUAACCAAGUAAACAUUACCAACUCAGUAGUCCUGUCACAUUUAAGAUGUGCUGCUUAAGUGUUAUUUUACUGUUUUCUCUUAUUCUAGGGUCUCGCAUCAUUUAUUUCUGCAGUAAUUUAUCUUCAUUGCACAUUUGGAUCAGACUCUACAUUGCACAUUUAAUGUUGAUGUUUCUCUUUACAAUCUGAUCUCAGCCUCCUACAUUGAUUUUACCACUUGCAACCAAGUACUGUACUAACCUUGAAAUCUCUUGUUUUAGUUUUAGGUAAAUCAUUCAUGAUUAGCUAAAGAAAAAUUUCCUAAAUAAGUAUCUGAUGAUGCCAAGAUAGGAACAUAUUCCUGUAGUGAUAAAAUCUAAUUGUCUCUGAUUUGAAAUAUCAAAGUUUUCCUGGAACACCAUGUGGAGUAUUAACAGUUUCUAAUUAAGUUAAACUAAGCUAAUAUAAUAUAUUUUUAUCCCUAGGACCCACCAUUUGUGUUUUUUAUAGUAAAAAAGAUCAUGUGAUUGUGGGCUUUGGUCUUGUUUGCUAGCUUAAAUGGUAAAAUCUGUUGGAACUUCACACAAGUCUCAACUCUUAAUGGUUCAAUGCUUUAUCAAUUUUAACCAAUUGUUUUAAGUUAAUCACUUCUGCUUUUGACUUUUCAAGUUGGUAACGAUUUUCGCCAAUAUUCAUGCAAAUUUACUAUUAUUUUUGCUAUUGCUGAUUCAAUUUAAAUAUUAGUUUUUAGUUGUUUUAAUUUUCCGGUUACCUUAGUAACAAAAUACCCUUCUUUGAAAGCAAAGGAUCAAAUGACAUAGUUUUAUUCUAUAACUUUGAAAGCAAAGGAUCAAAUGCAUAGUUUUAUUGUAUGGCAUAGAGAACUAAAUUAAUGGAGAGCAAAAGACAGGACAUAAAAAUGCUGAAAAUCAAUCUAUGAUCUAUCUCAGAUAUGUCAUUGACAGUGACAAGGAUACCUCAAGAGCUAGACAAUUCUCUAUUAAACAAAAUAAAAAUGGGACCUUGGUCGGAAAAAUAUUGAAUCUCCUUGAUCUUAACACAUGAAUUGCAGAAAUCAAUGAUACAGAAAAAAAAAAUGAUUAGAAACACACAAUUAAUCAAGAAUCGAGUGAACAGCCAAUAAUUGAAGGCAAAUAGCCCAACUAAAGCGAACCCAUUUGGUUGUUUAACCAGUAUAACAUCUAAUGAUGGGGAUUUAAACUAAUGAAUGUUAAGAAAUAUUUCAAAACUCAGAUGUGAUUUUGGGUUUUUCUGUGAUGAGAAUGUAUAUUAGCAAUUCCAGAUUCAAGGAAUUUGGUAUCAUCAACCAGUGAGUAUGAGAUAUAGAGAGAGAAAGCAUACCAACUUCAGACUCGAGAGCAGUGGAUAUGGGAACUGAGCAGUGAAUGAAAGAAACAAGAAGGAGUGAACUCAUGUUUAAGCUGCGCCUGGAAUGGAGUUUGAAGUGGCAAUCAAUAUCAAUGAUGGUGGUUUGGUGUUGAUAUUUGAUAGUGCUGUUCUUGGUCUUGUUGAUGGGUCAAGACAUUCCUGUUUUAAAUGGAGAGGAGGCAGGCUUUCCACCUGGGAACAACUCUGGGGAAGGCUUUAGUCCACUCUCCUUGUGAAGCGCGUGCAUUUUCUUAUUUGCAACGGUAAUAAAUGUAUUUAAUUAUAAUUUAAUAAAAAGCUUAACCCACAGGUUUGAUUUA